GCUGGGCAUGGUGGUGGAUGCCUGUAAUCCCAGCUACUCAGGAGGCUGAGGCAGAGAAUCGCUUGAACCUAGGAGGCAGAGGUUGCAGUGAGCUGAGAUUGUGCCACUGCACUCUAGCCUGGGCAACAAAGUGAGACUCUGCCUCAA
ensembl:misc_RNA Metazoa_SRP Metazoan signal recognition particle RNA